GGGGACCCGAGAGGCUGCUUCACGCCUUGGUCCCUGCCGUGCCGCUGUGGGACAGGGCUCAAAGCCCCAUGCGGCUCCUCCGGGUGCUGCCAGCCCCCGUCCCUGUGGGUUUGAGCACCCGGAGUCCCCACCGCCACCACCCCAAACAUCUCAGCCCUCCCUGAGCACAGCCCCCCCUUGCCCUAUGCAGCCCCCUGCCCACCCUUGCCGCCCGCCGGCACCGCGGCCACGUGCUCGCAGGCAGCGGCAGGAGGCGGAUCGCUGCGGAAAGGAGCCAUUAGGAACAGCAAAGAAAAAAAACCCGGCUGGGGGAGCCUCUGCGGCAGGACCUGCCCUGCUGGGAAGCUCGGCGGCGGCGGCGGUGCUCUGCGGUGAAGCCCACGCUUGGCGGCACGGCCGGACCCCAAGGCGCAUCCAUCGCGGAGCGUCGCCGCGCCGGAGCUGCCCGCACCCCACAAACCCAACCUCACCGCUGCCGGCGGCCCCGUUUCGGGUGCUGGUUUAAGGCAGAUCUCCCGCAGAAGCUCUUCCCACAGCCCUGGCUGCGUGCUCCCUGCUGGCACGGCACACGGUGGCCGGGCACGGUGGGAUCAGGCUCUGCUUGGAGCCGCAGGCUCGCUCCCUGUGCCCAAAGGUGCCCCCACGGGUGCUAAAUCCCAACUGGGGCUGCCCCGGGUACGGCUUGGCCCCGGCCUGGGCUCGUCGCUGGCACCAGGGGCGCGGGGUGGCUCCGGGCACGGGUUCUUCCCCCCCGCGGCACGGGCGCCUCUGCACGGAUGUCUGGAGAGAGCGUGGGACUCAGUAGGUAAAAACCAAGUCCGAGAUGCUGGACAUGAGCCAGUCCCCCGCGAUCAUCUCCGUCACCUCGGGCGUGCAAUAGUCCGGGAACUCGAAGUGCGAGGAGCUUCCCCGCGGGAACAGGUCCAGGUCCUUGUCGAAGCCGCACCAGUCCACGGUACCGCACGCCGUGCUGGUGGUGGUGGCAGGGGGGGGGGGCCCGGCCGGCCACGACGCCCCCCGGCAGCUCUUCCUCCAGCUCCUCGUCGGAGGAGCUGAAGGAGGAGGGCGGCGAGCUGGCCGGCAUGGGCGAGGGCAUCCCGCUCUCCGGAGACGUCCCCGGUUCAGCACCGGUGGUGACGGUGACAUCGGUGACAGCGGCGGGGCUGGGGGGCGCGGGGGGCUCCGUGGGGCUGCGCUCACCGGUGGGCACCGCGGCCGUGCCGGGAGAGUCCUCGGUGGCCACCUCGCCGUCGGGCUCCUGCGUUUGGGGACCGGCGGGGGUUUUGGCGUGCUGCCUCCGGCCAGUGGGGACACGACCGAGCACCGAGGGCUUGAUCUUGACCGGGAGGCGCGGACGAGCGGUGGCGGUGGCGGCGUUGGUGGCGUUGGUGGCACCCACCUUG
rnacentral:lncRNA from 1 species